GUGUGACUAUAUUCAGCCUCAUCCAUUUACAUUGAUGCAAACUAUGAAACAAAUGAAUCGUUGCCUAUUAUGAUGGAUUACUUCUUCCUGUAUACAGAUCAUGAAUGCAUAUUGGACAGGAUAGUAAGGAUACUUCACAACUAGGCCAGCCUUCAAAGGUUAUGUCAGAAUGAUGAGAGGUUGCUAUUUGUUAGUGGUACACAAAGCCACAAAGGUAACAUGUGGCUGAUGAUUAUGCAAAACGCUUGGCGAUGUGCUAUCUAGAGGCUGAGGAGUUUGUUGCAUCUUCACUAGCUUGCUUGGAUGGGUCGAGAUCAAAGCCUGGAUGUGAGAGUAUAGCUACUGAAUUUCAACAGGCAAAGUAUUAUAAGCCUUUGUUUUUCUGCGGUG